AACCCCCUUUUUUUUGCUUUCCUACCCCUUUUUAUCUCCCCUCCCUCUGCCCCUUCUUUCUCUGUCCCUCUCCAUCCGUCCUUCCCUCCCCUAACACCCUCCCACUACGAGCUGAGGAGGAGUGAGCAGGUAAACCAGAUUGGAGUCGCGUGGAGUAAAACCCUAACCUGACAUCAGUUUAUGACGUUGCAUGAAGGAGCAAAACGGGAAGUCACCGAGAGGCCGACAUGAUAACUCACAUCAUGUAGAGGACUAUAUAUCAUAAAGAGGACGUUGAAACAAAAUGACUGAAUCAUGAGAAUCAAAACUGUCAGCCUUACAAGCUGGCUACAGUUUCUCUGGGACUGCUGUGUGUUCUCCUACUAACCACAGUCAUAGGUCUCUCUGUGCUCUAUGACGAUGACUACAAUCAACUGUCAAGAACUCAUUAUCUCCUAACAGCCAACCACACCACAGAGAAGAAAGAGCUUCAGACUAGUUAUGAAAACCUGACUAAAGAGAAAGAACAGUUGGAGAGGGAGAGAGACCAGUUACUGAUCAGUUAUAAAAGCUUGACUAAAGAAAGAGACCAGUCACAAACUCAUUAUAUCACCUUAACUAGAGAGAGAGACGGAUGAGAGAGAUGUCAGACUAGAGAGAGAUGU